rnacentral:rRNA from 1 species
AGCUCCAAUAGCGUAUAUUAAAGUUGUUGCGGUUAAAAAGCUCGUAGUUGGAUUUCUGCUGAGGACGACCGGUCCGCCCUCUGGGUGUGUAUCUUGUUCGGUCUUGGCAUCCUAUUGGAGAACGUAUCUGCACUUGACUGUGUGGUGCGGUAUCCAGUACAUUUACUUUGAGGAAAUUAGAGUGUUUCAAGCAGGCUCAUGCCUUGAAUACGUUAGCAUGGAAUAAUAAGAUAGGAC